UACAUGGGGUGCAAACGUUGCUCGGAAUCAUUGGGCGUAAAGCGCGCGUAGGCGGUUACUUAAGUUGGAUGUGAAAGCCCUCGGCUUAACUGAGGAAGUGCAUCCAAAACUGAGUAGCUAGAGUACGAAAGAGGGUCGCGGAAUUCCCGGUGUAGAGGUGAAAUUCGUAGAUAUCGGGAGGAACACCGGUGGCGAAGGCGGCGACCUGGGUCGAGACUGACGCUGAGGCGCGAAAGCUAGGGGAGCAAACGGG
rnacentral:rRNA from 1 species